rnacentral:ncRNA from 2 species
UGCCGAGACACGGGGUGUCCUGCAUGCAGGGCUGAGAUAACACCCGUUGAACCUGAUCCAGUUCAUACUGGCGAAGGGAUGUCAGCCUGCCGGUUC